CACUAUCACUAGGGAAUAGAAAAGGA
rnacentral:piRNA from 1 species